rnacentral:rRNA from 1 species
GAUGAACGCUGGCGGCGUGCCUAAUACAUGCAAGUCGAGCGAACAGACGAGGAGCUUGCUCCUCUGACGUUAGCGGCGGACGGGUGAGUAAAACGUGGAUAACCUACCUAUAAGACUGGGAUAACUUCGGGAAACCGGAGCUAAUACCGGAUAAUAUAUUGAACCGCAUGGUUCAAUAGUGAAAGACGGUUUUGCUGUCACUUAUAGAUGGAUUCGCGCCGCAUUAGCUAGUUGGUAAGGUAACGGCUUACCAAGGCGACGAUGCGUAGCCGACCUGAGAGGGUGAUCGGCCACACUGGAACUGAGACACGGUCCAGACUCCUACGGGAGGCAGCAGUAGGGAAUCUUCCGCAAUGGGCGAAAGCCUGACGGAGCAACGCCGCGUGAGUGAUGAAGGUCUUCGGAUCGUAAAACUCUGUUAUUAGGGAAGAACAAAUGUGUAAGUAACUAUGCACGUCUUGACGGUACCUAAUCAGAAAGCCACGGCUAACUACGUG